UACAUGUGGGGCAAGCGUUGUUCGGAAUUACUGGGCAUAAAGGGGGCGUAGGCGGCUUGUUAAGUCAGGGGUGAAAGUUUUCGGCCCAACCGGAAAAUUGCCUUUGAUACUGGCGAGCUGGAGUGCGUGAGGGGUGACCGGAACGAGUGGUGUAGCGGUGAAAUGCGUAGAUAUCACUCGGAAGGCCAACGGCGAAGGCAGGUCACUGGUGCGCAACUGACGCUGAGGCACGAAAGCGUGGGGAGCAAACAGG
rnacentral:rRNA from 1 species